rnacentral:rRNA from 1 species
UACGUAGGGGGCAAGCGUUAUCCGGAUUUACUGGGUGUAAAGGGAGCGUAGACGGCGAAGAAAGUCUGAAGUGAAAGCCCGCGGCUCAACCGCGGAAUGGCUUUGGAAACUUUUUUGCUGGAGUACCGGAGAGGUAAGCGGAAUUCCUAGUGUAGCGGUGAAAUGCGUAGAUAUUAGGAGGAACACCAGUGGCGAAGGCGGCUUACUGGACGGUAACUGACGUUGAGGCUCGAAAGCGUGGGGAGCAAACAGG